CGUAGGGUGCAAGCGUUGUCCGGAAUCAUUGGGCGUAAAGCGCGCGUAGGUGGCUUCGUAAGUCCGUUGUGAAAGUCAAAGGCUCAACCUUUGAAUGCCGAUGGAUACUGCGAAGCUAGAGUACGGAAGAGGCGAGUGGAAUUCCUGGUGUAGCGGUGGAAUGCGCAGAUAUCAGGAGGAACACCAAUAGCGAAGGCAGCUCGCUGGGACGUUACUGACACUAAGGCGCGAAAGCGUGGGGAGCGAACAGG
rnacentral:rRNA from 1 species